rnacentral:rRNA from 1 species
UGGCAGACGGGUGAGUAAUGCGUAGGAAUCUACCUAGUAGUACGGAAUAGCCAUUAGAAAUGGUGGGUAAUACUGUAUAAUCCCCGAGGGGGAAAGAUUUAUCGCUAUUAGAUGAGCCUACGUUAGAUUAGCUAGUUGGUGAGGUAAUGGCUUACCAAGGCUAUGAUCUAUAGCUGGUCCGAGAGGACGAUCAGCCACACUGGAACUGAGAUACGGUCCAGACUCCUACGGGAGGCAGCAGUGGGGAAUAUUGGACAAUGGGCGAAAGCCUGACCCAGC